rnacentral:rRNA from 1 species
AUGGUAUUGGGCUACUCCCAAGACGAGCGACACAACAUUGCGAAUCGGCUUAACUGCCAGCUCGGGUGCUUCCCCACAACUUAUCUAGGGAUACCCAUUAGUGACUCCAGGCUCACAGUGGUCGAGCUACGCCCCUCGGUGGGAAAGCUUCAGCACCGUAUCGAGCCCUGGCAGGGUCGGUGGCUCUCGAAAGCGGCCCGUACGGUGCUCAUUAACUCUUCCCUCUCCAGCCUACUCUUAUUCAUCAUGAGCUUCUAUAGCCUUCCGGAGACUCUUCAUCACGAGAUUGCCACUGUUCAGGGGCGUUUCUUCUGGGCCGGCUAGGGAGAUAAGCAGAAGUACCACAUGGUUCGGUGGUCAGAGAUCUGCAAACCUCGCGACCAGGGCGGACUCGGGAUCAUGUCCUCCAAAUGCAUGAACAUGGCCCUCCUGACUCAGUGGCUCUAGCGAAUUGCCAACGGAGAUGGUGGCCUGUGGCUUCGCAUCAUUCAGCAGAAACACCUCCGCGGCUAG